rnacentral:rRNA from 1 species
AACGAACGCUGGCGGCGCGCCUAAUACAUGCAAGUCGAGCGAGAAGACGUAGCAAUACGUUUGUAAAGCGGCGAACGGGUGAGGAAUACAUGGGUAACCUACCCUCGAGUGGGGAGUAACUAGCCGAAAGGUUAGCUAAUACCGCGUACGCUCCUUGGACUUCGGUUCAGGGAGGAAAGCGAUACCGUGGGUAUCGCGCUCUUGGAUGGGCUCAUGUCCUAUCAGCUUGUUGGUGAGGUAACGGCUCACCAAGGCUUCGACGGGUAGCUGGUCUGAGAGGACGAUCAGCCACACUGGCACUGCGACACGGGCCAGACUCCUACGGGAGGCAGCAGUAAGGAAUAUUGCGCAAUGGGCGAAAGCCUGACGCAGCGACGCCGCGUGGGGGAUGAAGGUCUUCGGAUU